AGUGGGAUAGCUAGGUCAGAUGGUGGUUCAUUCCAAGUUUUCUAAGAAAUCUCCAUACUGCUUUCUAGAUUGGUUGCACCAAUUUGCAGUCCCAUCAGAAAU
rnacentral:pre_miRNA from 1 species